rnacentral:rRNA from 1 species
ACGAACGCUGGCGGCAUGCUUAACACAUGCAAGUCGAACGGAAAGGCCCUGCUUUUGUGGGGUGCUCGAGUGGCGAACGGGUGAGUAACACGUGAGUAACCUGCCCUUGACUUUGGGAUAACUUCAGGAAACUGGGGCUAAUACCGGAUAGGAGCUCCUGCUGCAUGGUGGGGGUUGGAAAGUUUCGGCGGUUGGGGAUGGACUCGCGGCUUAUCAGCUUGUUGGUGGGGUAGUGGCUUACCAAGGCUUUGACGGGUAGCCGGCCUGAGAGGGUGACCGGCCACAUUGGGACUGAGAUACGGCCCAGACUCCUACGGGAGGCAGCAGUGGGGAAUAUUGCACAAUGGGCGGAAGCCUGAUGCAGCAACGCCGCGUGCGGGAUGACGGCCUUCGGGUUGUAAACCGCUUUCGCCUGUGACGAAGCGUGAGUGACGGUAAUGGGUAAAGAAGCACCGGCUAACUACGUG